AGUUUGAUCAUGGCUCAGAUGAACGCUGGCGGAUACGCCACACAUGCAAGUCGAACGGCAGCGGACUUCAGUCUGGUGGCGAGUGGCGAACAGGUGAGUAAUGUAUCGGAACGUGCCUAGUAGCGGGGGAUAACUACGCGAAAGCGUAGCUAAUACCGCAUACGCCCUUCGGGGAAAGCGGGGGACCUUCGGGCCUCGCACUGUGGAAGCGGCCGAUAUCGGAUUAGCUAGUUGGUGGGGUAACGGCUCAUCCAAGGCGACGAUCCCGUAGCUGGUUUGAGGAGGACGACCAGCCACACUGGGACUGAGACACGGCCCAGACUCCUACGGGAGGCAGCAGUGGGGAAUUUUGGACAAUGGGGGAAACCCUGAUCCAGCCAUCCCGCGUGUGCGAUGAAGGCCUUCAGGUUGUAAAGCACUUUUUUGGCAGGAAAAGAAACGGCAUGGGAUAAUACCCCGUGCAACUGACGGUACCUGCAGAAUAAGCACCGGCUAACUACGUGCCAGCAGCCGCGGUAAUACGUAGGGUGCAAGCGUUAAUCGGAAUUACUGGGCGUAAAGCGUGCAGGCGGUUCGGAAAGAAAGAUGUGAAAUCCCAGAGCUUAACUUUGGAGCUGCAUUUUUAACUUACGAGCUAGAGUGUGUCAGAGGGAGGUGGAAUUCCCAUGAUAUUAGCAGUGAAAUGCGUAGAUAUGCGGAGGAACACCGAUGGCGAAGGCAGCCUCCUGGGAUAACACUGACGCUCAUGCACGAAAGCGUCGGGGAGCAAACAGGAUUAGAUACCCUGGUAGUCCACGCCCUAAACGAUGUCAACUAGCUGUUGGGGCCUUCCGGGCCUUGGUAGCGCAGCUAACGCGUGAAGUUGACCGCCUGGGGAAGUACGGUCGCAAGAUUAAAACUCAAAGGAAUUGACGGGGACCCGCACAAGCGGUGGAUGAUGUGGAUUAAUUCGAUGCAACGCGAAAAACCUUACCUACCCUUGACAUGUCUGGAAUCCCGAAGAGAUUUGGGAGUGCUCGCAAGAGAACCGGAACACAGGUGCUGCAUGGCUGUCGUCAGCUCGUGUCGUGAGAUGUUGGGUUAAGAAUCCCGCAACGAGCGCAACCCUUGUCAUUAGUUGCUACGAAAGGGCACUCUAAUGAGACUGCCGGUGACAAACCGGAGGAAGGUGGGGAUGACGUCAAGUCCUCAUGGCCCUUAUGGGUAGGGCUUCACACGUCAUACAAUGGUCGGGACAGAGGGUCGCCAACCCGCGAGGGGAGCCAAUCCCGAAACCCGAUCGUAGUCCGGAUCGCAGUCUGCAACUCGACUGCGUGAAGUCGGAAUCGCUAGUAAUCGCGGAUCAGCAUGUCGCGGUGAAUACGUUCCCGGGUCUUGUACACACCGCCCGUCACACCAUGGGAGUGGGUUUUUUACCGAAGUAGUUAGCCUAACCGUAAGGAGGGCGAUUACCACGGUAGGAUUCAUGACUGGGGUGAAGUCGUAACAAGGUAG
rnacentral:rRNA from 1 species